rnacentral:rRNA from 1 species
AACGAACGCUGGCGGCAGGCCUAACACAUGCAAGUCGAACGAUCUCUUCGGAGAUAGUGGCGGACGGGUUAGUAACGCGUGGGAAUAUGCCCCUGGGUAAGGAACAACAGCUGGAAACGGCUGCUAAUACCUUAUGAUGUCUUCGGACCAAAGAUUUAUCGCCCAGGGAUUAGCCCGCGUUGGAUUAGGUAGUUGGAGGGGUAAUGGCCCACCAAGCCUACGAUCCAUAGCUGGUUUGAGAGGAUGAUCAGCAACACUGGGACUGAGACACGGCCCAGACUCCUACGGGAGGCAGCAGUGGGGAAUCUUAGACAAUGGGGGAAACCCUGAUCUAGCCAUGCCGCGUGAUUGAUGAAGGCCUUAGGGUUGUAAAGAUCUUUCGACGGGGACGAUAAUGACGGUACCCGUAGAAGAAGCCCCGGCUAACUUCGUGCCAGCAGCCGCGGUAAUACGAAGGGGGCUAGCGUUGUUCGGAAUUACUGGGCGUAAAGCGCGUGUAGGCUGACUAGUCAGUCAGGGGUGAAAUCCCAGGGCUCAACCCUGGAACUGCCUUUGAUACUGCUAGUCUGGAGUCCGGUAGAGGUGAGUGGAAUUCCGAGUGUAGAGGUGAAAUUCGUAGAUAUUCGGAGGAACACCAGUGGCGAAGGCGGCUCACUGGACCGGUACUGACGCUGAGACGCGAAAGUGUGGGGAGCAAACAGGAUUAGAUACCCUGGUAGUCCACACCGUAAACGAUGAAUGCCAGCUGUCGGGUUGCAUGCAAUUCGGUGGGCGCAGCUAACGCUUUAAGCAUUCCGCCU